rnacentral:misc_RNA from 1 species
UACGGAGGGUGCGAGCGUUAAUCGGAAUUACUGGGCGUAAAGCGCGCGUAGGCGGCGUGAUAAGCCGGUUGUGAAAGCCCCGGGCUCAACCUGGGAACGGCAUCCGGAACUGUCAGGCUUGAGUACAGGAGAGGAUCGCGGAAUUCCCGGUGUAGAGGUGAAAUGCGUAGAGAUCGGGAGGAAUACCAGUGGCGAAGGCGGCCUUCUGGACUGACACUGACGCUGAGGUGCGAAAGCGUGGGGAGCAAACAGG